rnacentral:sRNA from 1 species
UCACCUCUCCUUGGGGAGAGGCCGGAAAUCCCUGGGGAUUUCCGGGUGAGGGG